rnacentral:rRNA from 1 species
AUUGAACGCUGGCGGCAUGCCUUACACAUGCAAGUCGAGCGGGGUUUUCGAACCUAGCGGCGGACGGGUGAGUAAUGCGUAGGAAGCUACCCGAUAGAGGGGGAUACCAGUUGGAAACGACUGUUAAUACCACAUAAUGUCUACGGACCAAAGUGUGGGACCUUCGGGCCACAUGCUAUCGGAUGCGCCUACGUGGGAUUAGCUAGUUGGUGAGGUAAUGGCUCACCAAGGCGACGAUCCCUAGCUGGUUUGAGAGGAUGAUCAGCCACACUGGGACUGAGACACGGACCAGACUCCUACGGGAGGCAGCAGUGGGGAAUAUUGGACAAUGGGCGCAAGCCUGAUCCAGCCAUGCCGCGUGUGUGAAGAAGGCCUUCGGGUUGUAAAGCACCUUCAGUAGGGAGGAAGCGUUGUGUGUUAAUAGUACACAGCGUUGACGUUACCUACAGAAGAAGCACCGGCUAACUCUGUGCCAGCAGCCGCGGUAAGAC